CAGUCGCCGCGGUAAUACGGAGGGAGCUAGCGUUGUUCGGAAUUACUGGGCGUAAAGCGCGCGUAGGCGGUUACUCAAGUCAGAGGUGAAAGCCCGGGGCUCAACCCCGGAACUGCCUUUGAAACUAGGUGACUAGAAUCUUGGAGAGGUCAGUGGAAUUCCGAGUGUAGAGGUGAAAUUCGUAGAUAUUCGGAAGAACACCAGUGGCGAAGGCGACUGACUGGACAAGUAUUGACGCUGAGGUGCGAAAGCGUGGGGAGCAAACAGGAUUAGAGACCCCAGUAGUCCCUGUCUCUUAUAC
rnacentral:rRNA from 1 species